rnacentral:tmRNA from 1 species
GGGGAUGCGUGGUCUCGACAGGGUCGGAUCCCCGGAGAACGCGAGUCGAGGUUGUCGCUAGGCCUCGUUAAUCAGGCGACAAAACGAAGUAACUGGCAAUCGUCAGCCUGCUCUCGCCUUCGCUGCUUAGGCAGUAAAGUGAGCGUGGAAGCGGCCUCAUCCUCGUGGGCCGUGGAAGCGUCAAUCAGCGAGGAUGCGCUCCCGGUCAGCGUCACGUAACCAGGAGUCAAGCCCGAAAGGGGGCGUGACUGGAGCCCGCCGCACGGUGCCGAUGUUGGGUUGCGGGUUCGACGACAAAUCAUCGGACACACUCGUAGUGGUCUCCGGCUGAAGGUUCUGGACGGGGAGUUCGACUCUCCCCCAUCUCCACCA